rnacentral:rRNA from 1 species
UACGUAGGGGGCAAGCGUUGUCCGGAAUCAUUGGGCGUAAAGAGCGUGUAGGCGGCCAGAAAAGUCCGCUGUGAAAACUCGAGGCUCAACUUCGAGCUGUCGGUGGAAACUUUCUGGCUAGAGUCCGGAAGAGGAGAAUGGAAUUCCUGGUGUAGCGGUGGAAAUGCGCAGAUAUCAGGAAGAACACCCGUGGCGAAGGCGGUCUCUGGGACGGUACUGACGCUGAGACGCGAAAGCGUGGGGAGCGAACAGGAU